rnacentral:tRNA from 1 species
GGUCGUGUGGCGCAAUGGUAGCGCGUUACUUUCCGGUUCCUCCAAGGCUGGUAAAGGUUCUGGGUUCGAGUCCCAGCAUGAUCG